AAUAUUGGAACAUAUAAUAAAAGACAACUCUGUUCCGCAGAGUAGCUGUUGACAUUAUAGUUGCGCAGGAACUUUGUUGAUUCUAGAGAACCUCGGGCAAAUCGCACAUCCCCGUAGUGGCGACUUUGCAUGCGGAUGUCAUCCAUAUCAACUUUCGAUGCCAGUUUAUGCGCCUACCAUGGUGACCACGGGUAACGGGGAAUCAGGAUUCCAUUCCAUACAGGGACCCUGAGAAACAGCUACCACAUGCAAGGAAGGCAGCAGGCGGGCAAAUGACCCACUCCCGACGCGGGAAGGUAGUGA